AUUGAACGCUGGCGGAAUGCCUUACACAUGCAAGUCGAACGGCAGCACGGACUUCGGUCUGGUGGCGAGUGGCGAACGGGUGAGUAAUGUAUCGGAACGUGCCCAGUCGUGGGGGAUAACGCAGUGAAAAUUACGCUAAUACCGCAUACGAUCUAUGGAUGAAAGCGGGGGAUCGCAAGACCUCGCGCGAUUGGAGCGGCCGAUAUCAGAUUAGGUAGUUGGUGGGGUAAAGGCCCACCAAGCUAACGAUCUGUAGCUGGUCUGAGAGGACGACCAGCCACACUGGAACUGAGACACGGUCCAGACUCCUACGGGAGGCAGCAGUGGGGAAUUUUGGACAAUGGGCGAAAGCCUGAUCCAGCCAUUCCGCGUGCAGGAUGAAGGCCCUCGGGUUGUAAACUGCUUUUGUACAGAACGAAAAGGUUUCUACUAAUACUAGGAGCUCAUGACGGUACUGUAAGAAUAAGCACCGGCUAACUACGUGCCAGCCGCCGCCGUAA
rnacentral:rRNA from 1 species